rnacentral:lncRNA from 1 species
CUUGUUCAGAUGUGUGGCACACAAUUCAUAGCAGCGAUCUCGGCCUCUCGUGGUUGAUCAUGACAUGGUUCCUGGUGAUGUCCCUGAGAGUGGGGCAGCCUGCAAGGGCCAUGGUAAGCUCCAAUUCAUUCUGAAGCAUCUUGAUCACGCUUCUUACUCCAUGCUCCCCAUUCGCCGCAAGGCCAUAAACCACAGGCCUUCCGAUCUGUUUAUUAUUGAACAGAGAGAAGUAGAAACAAAGGUUCAGCAAAGUUUCAUCUAUAAAUUUUAUGAACAUCAGAAAUAAUGUAUACAUGUAUUUGCUAUGUAUUAGUCACGACAACGUUUGAAUCAUAUCAUGCUGGUCAAUGUCAAGAUCGACAUUGUGCUCAAGAUCUGACACCGAAUGAUAAUUGAUAUUAUUCUCAGGAUCAAAGAAAACGCACCAUUACAGCUUUGGCACCGAGUGCUAAGGCCUUGAACACGUCUGUUCCACGACGAACUCCUCCAUCGAGCAGUACAGGAACUGCUCCUGAAACAGCUUUUACUACCUGCAGGAGGCUUACAAUUUGAUAUCAAAACCAAGCAGUAGCAAAAACUGCCAAAUUCACAAAUUUUAACACUAAAGGAAACAUAAUCAUCAAAUCCUUCGACCAAUCCAUGCUGCUUUUUUGUUCCUCGCUCUGAGAGCUUUGGUCAGUUCGAAGUAACAAUAGGAACAUUCAAAUAAAACAAGAUUUUUCCAGUUUGAAGUAACUUCUCUUCAAGAAGAUGGGAAUGAAAGCACUACCUCCUCGAGGACAGAUAUUGUAGGUGGUGUAUAAUCAAGCUGGCGACCACCAUGGUUUGAGACGACGAUCCCAGAUACUCCAGCAUCUACUGCUUUUCUAGCUGCUCAUUUUCAUAAACGUUUUAGCUCCACAUGGCUCGAUCUAUUUAAGUGAACUAUCAAACACUGUGUUAUUCUU